GACGAAGGAUGCAAGCGUUAUCCGGAUUCAUUGGGCGUAAAGGGUGUGUAGGUGGCGCCGUAAGUCGGGUGUGAAAUUUCGGAGCUUAACUCCGAAACUGCAUUCGAUACUGCGGUGCUUGAGGACUGGAGAGGAGACUGGAAUUCAUGGUGUAGCAGUGAAAUGCGUAGAGAUCAUGAGGAAGACCAGUGGCGAAGGCGGGUCUCUGGACAGUUCCUGACACUGAGACACGAAGGCCAGGGGAGCAAACGGG
rnacentral:rRNA from 1 species